GAUGACGACCGGCGCACGGGUGCGUAACGCGUAUAGAACCUACCUUUUACAGGAGAAUAGCCCAGAGAAAUUUGGAUUAAUGCUCCAUAGUAUUGUUAUAUGGCAUCAUUUAACAAUUAAAGAUUUAUCGGUAAGAGAUGGCUAUGCGUUCUAUUAGUUAGUUGGUAAGGUAACGGCUUACCAAGACAUCGAUAGAUAGGGGUCCUGAGAGGGAGAUCCCCCACACUGGUACUGAGACACGGACCAGACUCCUACGGGAGGCAGCAGUGAGGAAUAUUGGACAAUGGGCGGGAGCCUGAUCCAGCCAUGCCGCGUGCAGGAAGACUGCCCUAUGGGUUGUAAACUGCUUUUGUAUAGGAAGAAACGACAUUACGUGUAAUGUUUUGACGGUACUAUAAGAAUAAGGAUCGGCUAACUCCGUGCCAGCAGCCGCGGUAAUACGGAGGAUCCAAGCGUUAUCCGGAAUCAUUGGGUUUAAAGGGUCCGUAGGUGGGUUUAUAAGUCAGUGGUGAAAGUUUGCGGCUUAACCGUAAAAUUGCCAUUGAUACUGUAGAUCUUGAAUGCUUGUGAAGUGGUUAGAAUAAGUAGUGUAGCGGUGAAAUGCAUAGAUAUUACUUAGAAUACCGAUUGCGAAGGCAGAUCACUAACAAGUUAUUGACACUGAUGGACGAAAGCGUGGGUAGCGAACAGGAUUAGAUACCCUGGUAGUCCACGCCGUAAACGAUGGAUACUAGUUGUUUGGCGUAAGUUGAGUGACUAAGCGAAAGUGAUAAGUAUCCCACCUGGGGAGUACGUUCGCAAGAAUGAAACUCAAAGGAAUUGACGGGGGCCCGCACAAGCGGUGGAGCAUGUGGUUUAAUUCGAUGAUACGCGAGGAACCUUACCAGGGCUUAAAUGUAGAUUGACAG
rnacentral:rRNA from 1 species